rnacentral:rRNA from 1 species
GACGAACGCUGGCGGCGUGCUUAACACAUGCAAGUCGAACGGAAAGGCCCUGCUUUUGUGGGGUGCUCGAGUGGCGAACGGGUGAGUAACACGUGAGUAACCUGCCCUUGACUUUGGGAUAACUUCAGGAAACUGGGGCUAAUACCGGAUAGGAGCUCCUGCUGCAUGGUGGGGGUUGGAAAGUUUCGGCGGUUGGGGAUGGACUCGCGGCUUAUGAGCUUGUUGGUGGGGUAGUGGCUUACCAAGGCUUUGACGGGUAGCCGGCCUGAGAGGGUGACCGGCCACAUUGGGACUGAGAUACGGCCCAGACUCCUACGGGAGGCAGCAGUGGGGAAUCUUGCACAAUGGGCGGAAGCCUGAUGCAGCAACGCCGCGUGCGGGAUGACGGCCUUCGGGUUGUAAACCGCUUUCGCCUGUGACGAAGCGUGAGUGACGGUAAUGGGUAAAGAAGCACCGGCUAACUACGUG